rnacentral:rRNA from 1 species
UACAGAGGGUGCAAGCGUUAAUCGGAAUUACUGGGCGUAAAGCGUGCGCAGGCGGUGAUGUAAGACCGAUGUGAAAUCCCCGGGCUUAACCUGGGAACUGCAUUGGAGACUGCAUUGCUGGAGUAUGGCAGAGGGGGGUGGAAUUCCACGUGUAGCAGUGAAAUGCGUAGAGAUGUGGAGGAACACCGAUGGCGAAGGCAGCCCCCUGGGCCAAUACUGACGCUCAUGCACGAAAGCGUGGGGAGCAAACAGG